rnacentral:rRNA from 1 species
GUGNAUAACCUGCCUCACACGUGGGGGAUAACAGUUAGAAAUGACUGCUAAUACCGCAUAAGCGCACAGUGCCGCAUGGCAGUGUGUGAAAAACUCCGGUGGUGUGAGAUGGAUCCGCGUCUGAUUAGCCAGUUGGCGGGGUAACGGCCCACCAAAGCGACGAUCAGUAGCCGACCUGAGAGGGUGACCGGCCACAUUGGGACUGAGACACGGCCCAAACUCCUACGGGAGGCAGCAGUGGGGAAUAUUGCACAAUGGGCGAAAGCCUGAUGCAGCGACGCCGCGUGAGUGAAGAAGUAUUUCGGUAUGUAAAGCUCUAUCAGCAGGGAAGAAAAUGACGGUCCCUGACUAAGAAGCCCCCGGGCUAACUACGUGCCAGCAGCCGCGGUAAUACGUAGGGGGCAAGCGUUAUCCGGAUUUACUGGGUGUAAAGGGGAGCGUAGACGGCGAAGCAAGUCUGAAGUGAAAACCCAGGGCUCAACCCUGGGACUGCUUUGGAAACUGUUUUGCUAGAGUGUCGGAGAGGUAAGUGGAAUUCCUAGUGUAGCGGUGAAAUGCGUAGAUAUUAGGAGGAACACCAGUGGCGAAGGCGGCUUACUGGACGAUAACUGACGUUGAGGCUCGAAAGCGUGGGGAGCAAACAGGAUUAGAUACCCUGGUAGUCCACGCCGUAAACGAUGAAUGCUAGGUGUUGGGGGGCAAAGCCCUUCGGUGCCGCCGCAAACGCAGUAAGCAUUCCACCUGGGGAGUACGUUCGCAAGAAUGAAAACUCAAAGGAAUUGACGGGGACCCGCACAAGCGGUGGAGCAUGUGGUUUAAUUCGAAGCAACGCGAAGAACCUUACCAAGUCUUGACAUCCCCCCUGACGGGNCCGGUAACGCGGCCUUUUCCUUCGGGACAGGGGAGACAGGUGGUGCAUGGGUUGUCGUCCAGCUCGUGUCGUGAGAUGUUGGGUUUAAGUCCCGCAACGAGCGCAACCCUUAUCCUUAGUAGCCAGCACGUGAAGGUGGGCACUCUAGGGAGACUGCCAGGGAUAACCUGGAGGAAGGUGGGGAUGACGUCAAAUCAUCAUGCCCCUUAUGAUUUGGGCUACACACGUGCUACAAUGGCGUAAACAAAGGGAAGCGAGACAGUGAUGUGGAGCAAAUCCCAAAAAUAACGUCCCAGUUCGGACUGUAGUCUGCAACCCGACUACACGAAGCUGGAAUCGCUAGUAAUCGCGAAUCAGAAUGUCGCGGUGAAUACGUUCCCGGGUCUUGUACACACCGCCCGUCACACCAUGGGAGUCAGCAACGCCCGAAGUCAGUGACCCAACCGAAAGGAGGGAGCUGCC